CGCCUGUAAGGGAGGCAGGACUGGGCAGAAGGAGACGUUGAACUGUGAUUUGGUUGCAAGAGACCCUAGCUGAACCCACAGGGAGCAUUGAAAUUGAGGUGGCCCUUUGGAGAUAUUCCAGAUUGAGGCAAGAGGGCUGAGGCUUUGCAUCCCUGCAUGGACUGAGUUGCAAGAAUGUGAGAAAACUUGAAGUUACAGGAGUAUUCCCCCUAUCUGUGGUUUGGCUUUCAGCAGUUUCAGCGACCCUGUCGACCACCGUGAGGAAGAAGCCAGAAGGCUUCUCCUUCUGGCGAAUCAUCAGCCAGUCAAUAGCAGCCGCGUGUCCCAUGAUGUCACACCUGCAAUGGUCUCCUGCCUUGUCUCACUCACCUUGAGGGCAUCUUACGAUCUCAUAUCAUCUGAGGAGGGUGAGUAAAGUAAAAUAGAAUAUUUUGAGAGAGAGAGAGCACACCCACAUAACUUUUAUUACAGUAUAUUGUUACAAUUGUUCUAUUUUGUUUUUAGUUAUUGUUGUUCAUCUUGACUGUGCCUACUUUACAUCAUGGCAUGGACAUAGAGGAAGAAACAUGAGCAUGUGGAGUGCCGUCUGCUGUUUCAGGCCUCCAACGGGGGUCUUGGAACAUAUCCUUCACACGUAAGUGGAGACGACUGUAUGUUGUUCGUGCUGUAGUCUGAGGAACUGAAGGCAUGAGCUUGUGUGAUGGGAAAAAUUAUAAAA
rnacentral:lncRNA from 1 species